CCAGACACACACACGGGCUACAAACAGCAGAGCACAUUUAAACACCCAGAAGUGAUGUUCAGGUGAACUAAAAGGAAACCUAUGACGCAAUCAAGAGUACCAUGUGAGCUGUGUCUGACCUCAUCUGCUGCAGCCUGUCUGCGUCUUUCUCCAGGGCGUCUAUCAAGAGGAAAGAGUCCUCCGCCGGCUCGUAGACAUCUCGGAAGUCUCCUCUUCCUGCGUGGGAGUAAACUGGUGUGGGGUAACUUGCAGACAUGUUCUCUUCAGUUACCAGACUCGCUGUCCACCCGCACGUGCUCCUGGCUCACCAUUUAAAGAAGAGGAGCCUUGUAGAGACCAGCUGAAGGAACAUCUUCUCUGAGCUGAAGCUCUGAGAUGAGUGCAGAGUUUCCGGACCACAACGGAGAAGUUCCUUCACUCCAUUCAUGCCGCCUUCUCUCCGUACUCACUGUAUACUCAUAGUAUUGUAUGUCAUGAAAUAAUUUAAUAAAAAGUAAGUAAUAGUAA